AAUAUUAAAUAAAAAAAAAAAUGAAAAACUGUGUGAAGGGGAUGCUGUUGUCCUCACUUUAUAGAUGUAUAGAAAAGGGUCAUGCAGUUAUGGAAGCGUUGUGGGGGGAUUUGAACCUGGACCUUCCUGACUAAACUGAACUCUGUAUCCACUCUACCACACUUCCUGUUGCUACCUCUUGGAUCUAGGUAUAUGGCUACUAUAAUUUUCCACCCCCAAAAUGAAAUGAGAAUUAAGUCCUUUCAUACUGAUAACAUCAAGUCCCUCAAAAAUCAAUUUUUAAAAUUUUCGCUGCUUGGGUUAAGUGACUUGCCCAGAGUCACACAGCUAGGAAGUAUUAAAUGUCCAAAGUCAAAUUUGAAUUCAGGUCCUCCUGACUUCAGGACUGGUGCUCUAUCCACUACACCAACUGGCUGCCCCAAAAUCAAAUUUUAAAACCUUAAAUAUGUUUUUAAAAAAUAAAAUAAAAAAUAAAAGUUUUGUGUGCUGGUAAUAAAAAAUAAAUAUGAAGUGUCCCAGGCUGACAGAAAGAACAAAAAUUUCAAAAUGGGGUUUUUCAAAAAAAUAUCAGAGAAAUCUAAGAGAAAGACAGAGUGCAGUGAUAGCAUUAUAAUCUCCAGCUCUGCUUGGUUUGAAAUUGAAGCUGGCCCCUCUAAAGUAUAAAUAGAUCACCUGAAAUCUCUUCCUCCUGAUUAACUAAUUGGAUCCUCAACACCUUCCAGUCUCCACCUCCUCUUCCCUCUGAUUGGAGCCUGGAGGCUUAGAGCACUAAGCUCCUCCCAUAGCCUUCCUCUAUAAAGGGCACUGAUUUUCCUCACUCUCCAUUUUGCAUCUGGCUCUGCUGUCCACUGUCCAGGUAUCCCUCCUGUGUUCCCCACUGACACCUUUCUUUUGUGUGGUUAUCUUCCCUCUUUGAUUGUGAGCUCCUUGAGGGCACGAACUAUCUCUUUUUUCUUCUUUAUAAUAUCUCUGGCUUAGCACUGUGCUGAAUUGAAACAGAAGAGACUGGUUCAUCGCAGUUAAAGAAACUGAGGGAGGUAACAGUUAAACAUCCUACCAAAGGUCACACAGCUAAUAAAUAUGGGGAGUCAUGUUUGGACCGGGACCUUGCUGACUCCAGGAUCAGAGCUCCAUCCGCUGCACCAAAGCCACAGGAGAACUUGGCUUUUGCUCUGAGGAUGCAGAAACUGCGUCCCUGAAGGGAAAAGUCAAUCACUACAGUUAACAUAAGACCCGUAGCUGUGACUGGAACCCAAGACUUCUUACUCCAAGCUUUGCAGAGAAUCCAGUCGCAGUCACAUCCCUUGACGUAACUCAUCUGGUUUUCAUCAUGUUAAAUGUGAAGAUUUUCUCUUUCUUAUUUGACCUAACGUGUUGCUGGACUUGUUAGAAACAAGGUGAUAACCUGAACUUCCUACAUCAUCUUUUUGGAAGGUUCUUUCACCUCUGAUUUCUUUCCUGCUCCCUCCUCUGUAUUAAAAUUUGUGAUUGAUGGUGAGAUAUUUAUCUUGUUCACUAAAUUGUUUUGAUUCCCUGUGUCACCUUAACAUUUUGGCUUUAAAUAGUUAUUAUCAUUAUUAUUCAUUAAUUCUUUCUAUCUUAAUGCAUUCAAAGCUAGAUAAGACCACAAUAGACUUUGACAUGUUAUCCUCAGAAAUGCUGUGUUUUAUAGCAGUUGUUUUGAUAUUAUUGUGUUAAUGGCAUUUCUUAAGCAAAGAACACUUUUCCACGUGGACUCCAAAUAUUAUA